rnacentral:rRNA from 1 species
UACGGAGGUCCCAAGCGUUGUUCGGAAUUACUGGGCGUAAAGGGAGCGCAGGCGGAACGGUCAGUCUGAAGUGGAAGCCCGGGGCUUAACCUCGGAAGUGCUUCGGAUACUGCCGUUCUUGAGUACGUGAGAGGAAGGCGGAAUUCAGGGUGUAGCGGUGAAAUGCUUAGAUAUCCUGAGGAACACCAGUGGCGAAAGCGGCCUUCUGGCACAAUACUGACGCUGAGGCUCGAAAGCGUGGGGAGCGAACUGG